CUGUAAGCCUGUGAAGGUGGCCUGUGAGGGUUGCUGGAGGUAUCAGAAGUGCGAAUGCUGACAUAAGUAACGAUAAAGCGGGUGAAAAGCCCGCUCGCCGGAAGACCAAGGGUUCCUGUCCAACGUUAAUCGGGGCAGGGUGAGUCGACCCCUAAGGCGAGGCCGAAAGGCGUAGUCGAUGGGAAACAGGUUAAUAUUCCUGUACUUGGUGUUACUGCGAAGGGGGGACGGAGAAGGCUAUGUUGGCCGGGCGACGGUUGUCCCGGUUUAAGCGUGUAGGCUGGU
rnacentral:rRNA from 1 species